CACUUACGCCACCCAGCGUUGUUCACCAGGCAGUCCAGCUGUCCGUAGAGCUGCACCGUGGCCUCAAUGAGUCUCUGGAGCAGAACCACACACACACACACACACACACACACACACACACACACACACACACACACACACACACACACACACACACACACACACACACACACACACACACACACACACACACACACACA